AAAGUAAUAGCAGUUUUUACCAUUAUUUUCAGUGGCAAAAACUGCAAUUACUUUUGC
ensembl:miRNA